rnacentral:rRNA from 1 species
GAUGAACGCUGGCGGCGUGCCUAAUACAUGCAAGUCGAGCGAACAGACGAGGAGCUUGCUCCUCUGACGUUAGCGGCGGACGGGUGAGUAACACGUGGAUAACCUACCUAUAAGACUGGGAUAACUUCGGGAAACCGGAGCUAAUACCGGAUAACAUGUUGAACCGCAUGGUUCAACAGUGAAAGACGGUCUUGCUGUCACUUAUAGAUGGAUCCGCGCCGCAUUAGCUAGUUGGUAAGGUAACGGCUUACCAAGGCAACGAUGCGUAGCCGACCUGAGAGGGUGAUCGGCCACACUGGAACUGAGACACGGUCCAGACUCCUACGGGAGGCAGCAGUAGGGAAUCUUCCGCAAUGGGCGAAAGCCUGACGGAGCAACGCCGCGUGAGUGAGGAAGGUCUUCGGAUCGUAAAACUCUGUUAUUAGGGAAGAACAAAUGUGUAAGUAACUAUGCACGUCUUGACGGUACCUAAGCAGAAAGCCACGGCUAACUACGU